rnacentral:rRNA from 1 species
GACGUAGGGCGCGAGCGUUAUCCGGAAUUAUUGGGCGUAAAGAGCUCGUAGGCGGUUUGUCGCGUCUGCCGUGAAAGUCCGGGGCUCAACUCCGGAUCUGCGGUGGGUACGGGCAGACUAGAGUGAUGUAGGGGAGACUGGAAUUCCUGGUGUAGCGGUGAAAUGCGCAGAUAUCAGGAGGAACACCGAUGGCGAAGGCAGGUCUCUGGGCAUUAACUGACGCUGAGGAGCGAAAAGCAUGGGGGAGCGAACAGG